UACAUUUUUAUUACAUUCCUAAAAAGUAACAAGCAAUGGGGUUAUUAUAAUUAGUUUCCGGAAUCUGAACCCUCUCUGGGUGCAUGUGUAUCAAUCUCUGGUGGUCUUUCUGGGGGUUUCUUGUGCUGAAGGCUCGUAGUCUUCCUCCCA